GAUGAACGCUGGCGGCGUGCCUAAUACAUGCAAGUCGAACGCGCGAGGAGGGAGCUUGCUCCCUCUGAUCGAGUGGCGGACGGGUGAGUAGCACGUAGGCAACCUGCCCAUCAGCCGGGGAUAACUGCGGGAAACCGUGGCUAAUACCGGAUAAUCCUCUCCACCGCGGGGUGGGGAGUUGAAAGACGGUUUCGGCUGUCGCUGAUGGAUGGGCCUGCGGCGCAUUAGCUGGUUGGCGGGGUAACGGCCCACCAAGGCAACGAUGCGUAGCCGACCUGCGAGGGUGGUCGGCCACACUGGGACUGAGACACGGCCCGGAGGCCCACGGGAGGCAGCAGUAGGGAAUCUUCCGCAAUGGACGCAAGUCUGACGGAGCAACGCCGCGUGAGUGAAGAAGGGUUUCGGCUCGUAAAACUCUGUUGUUAAGGAAGAACGCCAGGUAGAGUAACUGCUACCUGUGUGACGGUACUUAACCAGAAAGCCACGGCUAACUACGUGCCAGCAGCCGCGGUAA
rnacentral:rRNA from 1 species